rnacentral:rRNA from 1 species
AGAGUUUGAUCCUGGCUCAGGACGAACGCUGGCGGCGUGCCUAAUACAUGCAAGUAGAACGCACAGUUUAUACCGUAUCUUGCUACACCAUAUACUGUGAAUUGCGAACGGGUGAGUAACGCGUACGUAACCUGCCUAUUAGAGGGGGAUAACUAUUGAAAACGAUAGCUAAUACCGCAUAACAGUAUGUAACACAUGUUAGAUGCUUGAAAGAUGCAAUUGCAUCGCUAGUAGAUGGACCUGCGUUGUAUUAGCUAGUAGGUAGGGUAAAGGCCUACCUAGGCAACGAUACAUAGCCGACCUGAGAGGGUGAUCGGCCACACUGGGACUGAGACACGGCCCAGACUCCUACGGGAGGCAGCAGUAGGGAAUCUUCGGCAAUGGGGGGAACCCUGACCGAGCAACGCCGCGUGAGUGAAGAAGGUUUUCGGAUCGUAAAGCUCUGUUGUUAAGGAAGAACGAGUGUGGGAAUGGAAAGUUCAUACUGUGACGGUACUUAACCAGAAAGGGACGGCUAACUACGUGCCAGCAGCCGCGGUAAUACGUAGGUCCCGAGCGUUGUCCGGAUUUAUUGGGCGUAAAGCGAGCGCAGGCGGUUAGAAAAGUCUGAAGUGAAAGGCAGUGGCUCAACCAUUGUAGGCUCUGGAAACUGUUUAACUUGAGUGCAGAAGGGGAGAGUGGAAUUCCAUGUGUAGCGGUGAAAUGCGCAGAGAUAUGGAGGAACACCAGUGGCGAAGGCGACUUUCUGGUCUGUAACUGACGCUGAUGUGCGAAAGCGUGGGGAUCAAACAGGAUUAGAUACCCUGGUAGUCCACGCCGUAAACG